CUGCCGAGAAAAGCCUCUAGAUAGAAAAUAGGUGCCCGUACCGCAAACCGACACAGGUAGUCAAGAUGAGAAUUCUAAGGUGAGCGAGCGAACUCUCGUUAAGGAACUCGGCAAAAUGACCCCGUAACUUCGGGAGAAGGGGUGCUCUUUAGGGUUAACGCCCAGAAGAGCCGCAGUGAAUAGGCCCAAGCGACUGUUUAUCAAAAACACAGGUCUCUGCUAAACCGUAAGGUGAUGUAUAGGGGCUGACGCCUGCCCGGUGCUGGAAGGUUAAGAGGAGUGGUUAGCUUCUGCGAAGCUACGAAUCGAAGCCCCAGUAAACGGCGGCCGUAACUAUAACGGUCCUAAGGUAGCGAAAUUCCUUGUCGGGUAAGUUCCGACCCGCACGAAAGGCGUAACGAUUUGGGCACUGUCUCAACGAGAGACUCGGUGAAAUCAUAGUACCUGUGAAGAUGCAGGUUACCCGCGACAGGACGGAAAGACCCCGUGGAGCUUUACUGUAGCCUGAUAUUGAAAUUCGGCACAGCUUGUACAGGAUAGGUAGGAGCCUUUGAAACGUGAGCGCUAGCUUACGUGGAGGCGCUGGUGGGAUACUACCCUAGCUGUGUUGGCUUUCUAACCCGCACCACUUAUCGUGGUGGGAGACAGUGUCAGGCGGGCAGUUUGACUGGGGCGGUCGCCUCCUAAAAGGUAACGGAGGCGCUCAAAGGUUCCCUCAGAAUGGUUGGAAAUCAUUCAUAGAGUGUAAAGGCAUAAGGGAGCUUGACUGCGAGACCUACAAGUCGAGCAGGGUCGAAAGACGGACUUAGUGAUCCGGUGGUUCCG
rnacentral:rRNA from 1 species